AGUGUGGAAAACAAUAGCGAUAGAGGAGGAAGACUCAUUACUGUCAACUAUCGCCAGUGUUAUUUUAAUUCAACCUCCUCAAGUACUACAUACACUCCUACUACGAUACCACAUACAACUUCUACUACUCCUGUGUCGGCGCCUACAACGUUUACUACUCAAGUUCCUAUCACGACCUUCACCACCUCUUGUUUACCCACACCCAUCACAACUCCUACUACACAGACUAUCCCCCCAACUACCACCAUACCAACUACCACUACCGCACCAACAACUACUAUCCCCCCAACUACCACCAUACCAACUACCACCACUACUACCACUACCGCUCCAACUACUAUCCCUCCAACUACCACCACUCCAACUAGCAGCAUACCAACUACCACCACUCCAACUAGUAUCACUUUAACACAUAACACUCAAACCACAGCAACUACUGAAUCACCGCCUGACACAUCAACUAGCACUUUCAUUCAUCAAACAACCAUAUCCUCACCUAUCACUUCACGUCAUCCUAACUCGACUCUUUCUUUAACCUCACCUUCACUUUCCACACAUACACCCUCAUCAACAGAUACAUCAGUCAAGCCACUCAUCAUAACAGAUCCACCCUCCCCUACCUUUGAGGACAAGGAUGAUGAUUCUCACCUACAUACUUAUGACGAAGAUGAUGAUGAUGAUGAUGAU